rnacentral:rRNA from 1 species
UAGGGAAUCUUCCGCAAUGGGCGAAAGCCUGACGGAGCAACGCCGCGUGAGUGAUGAAGGUCUUCGGAUCGUAAAACUCUGUUAUUAGGGAAGAACAUAUGUGUAAGUAACUGUGCACAUCUUGACGGUACCUAAUCAGAAAGCCACGGCUAACUACGUGCCAGCAGCCGCGGUAAUACGUAGGUGGCAAGCGUUAUCCGGAAUUAUUGGGCGUAAAGCGCGCGUAGGCGGUUUUUUAAGUCUGAUGUGAAAGCCCACGGCUCAACCGUGGAGGGUCAUUGGAAACUGGAAAACUUGAGUGCAGAAGAGGAAAGUGGAAUUCCAUGUGUAGCGGUGAAAUGCGCAGAGAUAUGGAGGAACACCAGUGGCGAAGGCGACUUUCUGGUCUGUAACUGACGCUGAUGUGCGAAAGCGUGGGGAUCAAACAGGAUUAGAUACCCUGGGUAGUCCGCGCCGUACGAUGAGUGCUAAGUGUUAGGGGUUUCCGCCCCUUAGUGCUGCAGCUAACGCAUUAACACUCCGCCUGGGGAGUACGACGCA